rnacentral:rRNA from 1 species
AGUGAACGCUGGCGGCGUGCCUAAUACAUGCAAGUCGAACGAGCGGGCACGGGUGAGUAAUGUAUAGCUAAUCUCCCUCCACUAGAGACCACAGUUGCAAACGGCUGCUAAACUCCUGUAGGUUGGGGCUAUAUUGUAUUAGCUAGUUGGUGAGGUAAUUGCCCACCAAGGCUAUCACGCCUAACUGGUCUGAGAGGAUGAUCAGUCACACUGGAACUGAGACACGGUCCAGACUCCUACGGGAGGCAGCAGUAGGGAAUCUUCUGCAAUUGGCGAAAGUCUGAUCCAGCAACGCCGCGUGAAUGAAGAAGGCUUUCGGGUCGUAAAACUCUUUUGUUCGGGAAGCGGUAUCUACACAGAAAGCCACGGCUAACUACGUGCCAGCAGCCGCGGUAAUAC